rnacentral:rRNA from 1 species
UACGGGGGGGGCAAGCGUUGUUCGGAAUUACUGGGCGUAAAGGGCUCGUAGGCGGCCAACUAAGUCGGAUGUGAAAUCCCCAGGCUUAACCUGGGAACUGCAUCCGAUACUGGAUGGCUUGAAUUCGGGAGAGGGAUGCAGAAUUCCAGGUGUAGCGGUGAAAUGCGUAGAUAUCUGAAGGAAUACCGGUGGCGAAGGCGGCAUCCUGGACCGACAUUGACGCUGAGGAGCGAAAGCUAGGGGAGCAAACGGG